CUCAGGGUAGCCCCCCUUAGACCAGGUUUCCCUGUAGGGCUGCUGAGGGGUCUGGGGGUCAGCUGGCUCUCAGAACUGAGCAAAAGGCAGUGCGUGACCUGGAAGCAGUUCUAAGGGCGAGCAAGAAGGGCAGGUGCACUCACUUGAUAUGCUGGAGCCUGUGGUUUCCAGACAGUGCCGUGGCAACGCAUAUCGCCCCGCCCAUCCCCAGGGAAGUCUCUUGAAGACUAAGUGGAGAAGAGAUGGAGACACACGGUGAGCCAUCAGGGCAGAAGGAAACACCCGGGGAAGCAAUACUGCAUUGUCUGGGGCAGUAACCCAGGCAGAUGUGUCUACAAGUGCCAUGGCAACGCCAGGUGGGAGUUGAUCCUGCAGACAGGUGUCUACAAGUGGCCAGAUUGUCCCACCCAAGUGCGAUGGAGGAUGUAAGACCAUAAAUGCAGAUGAGGAAGUAGCUACAGAGGAAAUCAGGAGCAUUUUAUCCCAUCGAGGAGGACCCAGCAGAGAACUCUGCUGCUCCAGGAUGCAGGCCCUGAGCGGCCAUCCAUGGAUGGCACCCAAGAUGGAACAGAGCUGCUUUGGAAAGGUCUCUAGCCAGCAGUGUGAGAGGAUGGACUGAGGUGGAGGCUGCCACAGGGAUGGAGGUGAGUAGUGCCGACGGCCUGGAUGGGGGCAGUGGACGCAAAGGAAAUCGAGUGGGUGGCAGGGACACAGAGGGGACUGACCCAACAGGACUUGAGAGUGAAUAAGAAGCAGGAGGUGGGCAGGCACAGUGGCUCACACCUGUAAUCCUAGGACUUUGGGAGGCCAAGGUGGGAGGAUCACUUGAGCCCAGGAGUUCAAGACCAGCCUGGGCAACAUAGU